UCGACGGGAACCGCGGCUCAGAGACAAGUCCGCCCGUCUUUACAGAGAGCAGGCAAGUGCAUGAACAGACGAGUUUCUACUUUUGGGCUUUUAACGGAGACACCAAUCCAUCAUCCGUCAUUCUCCGGUUGUUGUAACUUGCGUCCAGCUUCCUCCUACAGACCGGGGACAAAGUCUGUCUUAAGUUUUCAAAAAUUGCGAGGGUUUUAUUUUUCAACAUCUGCCUGGUGUUGUUGCCGGCUGUGACGCCAAAUCUGUACUCUUUACUUUGAAGGACCCACGCUUUACACUAAAGAGUAAUGGAGUAAUUGAAACUUUAACUCCGGUGUCAGUGGCAGCGGCAGGGCAGACAUUUUCUGUGUGGGUUCAGGACGAUAGUGGGCCGGGAAGUGAGAUGGAAGUUCACCUUGUCCACAAUACAAUGCAGCCAAGAGAGAUUGUAUCAUAUUCCUCAGCCAAGUACAAUGUGUACUACACCCGCCUGUACCACGAAGCAAGUUCAGCAUACCCAGGAUAUCAUCUGGCUUAACUAACCCAAUCGGGGUCAGGAUAAGCGGUACCACGAAGCUGGUUAUCAACUCGGUAAGUCAA